rnacentral:lncRNA from 1 species
UCUAAUGUGACUCCAGGCAGUGUUCCAUCCUGAGCAUUUAAAUAUUGCAAAACCAGCAGAAGUGGACAGUAACAAAGUACAUUUACUUGAGUACUGUGUACUUAAGUACACUUUUUGAGUAUCCGUACUUUACCUGAGUAUUAUUUUUUUCUGGAAACUUGCUACUUCAACUUCACUACAUUUGAAAGACAAAUAUCGUUCUUUUUACUCCGCUACAUUUAUAUUGAGGUCCCCAUGUAGAAAGUCAUUAUAUGUAGCGGUUUUUCCAGUGUAUGCAUUUUCACAUUGACUGAACUCUUUUUUUCUGCGAAAAUCCGACCUGCGAUCUGCCAGGACCUUCUAGUGUUGCCAAGUCUUACAGUAUUUCUAAGCCUGCAGUUUCCCGCGUAGCUCAGGAUGUUUGGCUUUUUUUUACGCAAAUCUGGCAACCUCGCGACUUUCCCUGCUAAACUGAACGGCUGCACUACUGCACAGCGUGCUCUAAAAAGCAGGCCCAGAAAGCUGAAAGCCAGACCUGGAUUUCAUUCAGAUUUCUGAGCGUCAUAGCAAGCAAGUGCAGUAAAUCUAGGCCUGUUAUUCCUCCCAUCUCCAAAAUAAAUGAGCUCACUAAUUAAUAACAAGACGAGCUUGUUUAAAUCCUCUCCCAUUGUUUUGCUUCAGAGAGAGAACAGCAUGCACCUAACCUACAUAGAGGAAAGAACAGCUGUGCCUACACACACAAACAGAAGAUGAGCUAGAGAUUUGGAAGGAAAGAUACAGAGUGAAAGCAAGAAAGAGAAAGACAGAGGGAGGAAGGAAUUGCAUGCAACUGUUAUGUGCGGGAGGACAUAUCCAUCUUAAAAAUCAAGCAUUUAUUAAUAUUACCAUGAACUGAAUAGGCACAGGAAUCUGCAAAAUUAUUAACAUGACAUACGCCGAAUAUCAGAAUCGACCAUUUUGUUAUCCAGAUGUCCCUUAACUGUCAAUAGUUUCAUGCUUUUGGCUGCCUGUAAUAACUGUUGUCAUCACAAACCAUGUUUAUUCUUGUUUCAUAGUUUUGUUCACGGUUUCUGAGCAUCAGGACACAAUAUAAAAGCUUUCCAUGUUAGCAUCUGUCUGAUUUAACUGGCUGAAUGAAUUUGCGCCAAAAUACCGUAGGGUUU